UACGGAGGGAGCGAGCGUUGUCCGAAGUUACUGGGCGUAAAGCGCGCGUAGGCGGCCCGGUAAGUCCGCUGUGAAAGUCAAAGGCUCAACCUUUGAAUGUCAGCGGAUACUGCCGGGCUAGAGUCCGGAAGAGGCGAGUGGAAUUCCUGGUGUAGCGGUGAAAUGCGCAGAUAUCAGGAGGAACACCCGUGGCGAAAGCGGCUCUCUGGGACGGUACUGACGCUGAGACGCGAAAGCGUGGGGAGCAAACAGG
rnacentral:rRNA from 1 species